UAGCGUAGGGUGCAAGCGUUGUCCGGAAUUACUGGGCGUAAAGCGCACGUUAGGCGGCUUUGUAAGUUAGAGGUGAAAGCCCAGGGCUCAACCCUGGAAUUGCCUUUAAGACUGCAUCGCUUGAACAUCGGAGAGGUAAGUGGAAUUCCGAGUGUAGAGGUGAAAUUCGUAGAUAUUCGGAAGAACACCAGUGGCGAAGGCGACUUACUGGACGAUUGUUGACGCUGAGGUGACGAAAGGCGUGGGGGAGCAAACAGG
rnacentral:rRNA from 1 species